AUGGCACUCCUGAGGGCUCUGUGCUACCUCCUUCGGGGUCUUGGUACUGAGGCCCCGGGUCUGGGAUCCACCUGCCAAGUCAGCCAGCAGAGGUGCUCAACAACGUUAGCUAGAUGUAGAAAGGACAGAGCAGCUUUCUGGAGCUGUCAUGUACUCCUCCAAGGAUACAGCCCCCUGGAAACCUCCUCUUUGGAAUGAUGUGGACAUUUUCAAGGAAAAGUGGUGACUAACAUGACCCUGAACUUUGGGCCUCAGCACCCAGCAGCCCAUGGAGUCUUGAGACUAGUGCUAGAGUUGAGCGGAGAGAUGGUGUGGAAAUGUGACCCUCACAUUGUGUUCCUGCACCAAGGCACUAAGAAGCUCACUGAGUACAAGAUCUAUCUACAGACCCUUCCGUACUUUGGCUGGUUGGGCUAUGUGUCCAUGAUGUGUAAUGAACAGGCCUAUUCGGUAGCUCGGGAGAAGUUGUUAAACAUUCAACCUCCUCCCCAGGCACACUGGAUCCAAGUGCUCUUUAGAGAGAUCACACAGAUUUUAAACCAUUUCAUGGCUGUCAUCACACAUACCCUGGACAUUGGUAACAUGACUCCUUUCUUCUGGAUCUUUGAAGAAUGACAGAAGAUGUUCUGGUUCUAUGAGCGGGUGUCUGGAGCCCGAAGGCAUGCUGCUUAUAUCCGACCAGGAGGACUGCACCAGGACCUACCUCUUGGGCUUAUGAUGACAUUUAUGACUUUCCCAAAACCUUCUCUCUUCAGAUUGAUGAGGUGGAGGAGAUGCUGACCAACAAUAGAAUCUGUCCAAAUAGGACAGUCAAUGUUGGGGUUGUAUCGGCAGAAGACACACUUAACUAUGGAUUCAGUAGGGUGAUGUUCCAAGGCUCAGGCAUCCAGUGGGACUUGCAGAAGACCCAGCCCUGAUGUUUUCAACCAGGUAAAGUUUGAUGUUCCUGUUGGCUCUCAAGGGGACUGCUACAAUAGAUACCUGUGUCUCAUGGAGAAGAUGUGCCAGUGCCUUCAAAUCAUUGAAAGGUGAAUCACUGAACAAGAUGCCUCCAGGGGAGAUCAAGGUGUCCCCACCUAAAUGAGCAGAAAUGAAGACUUUCAUGGAGUCACUAAGUCAUCACUUUAAGCUGUAUACUGAGGGCUACCAAGUUCCUCCAGGAACAACAUAUACUGCCAUUGAAGCUCCUAAGGGAGAGUUUGGGGUAUACUUGGUGUCUGAUGGCAGCAGCAGGCCUUAUAAGAUCAAGGCUCCUGGUUUUGCCCACCUGGAUGGUUUGGACAAGAUGUCUAAGGGACACAUGUCGGCAGAUGUCAUAGCCAUCAUAGGUACCCAGGAUAUUGUGUUUGGUGAAACAGACUGA